UUAAAAAACAAAACAUUUCUCUUACAGCGGGGUUUCUUUAAAUGUUCAAGAUCUCGCUCCUUCUUGUGCCGGAGCUCUAUUUGGAAUCAUGAAUACAUGCGGGGCAUUCUCAGGAGUCCUGAUGGUGUACUUCUCGGGGUAUCUCAUUGAGGCCACAGGCUCGUGGGCAUCAGUGUUUGCCCUCAUCACCACAGUCAACCUGAUGGGCCUCUUCACCUUCCUGGCAUUUGCCGAGGCUCGCAGAGUCGACAUCGACUCCGGCAGGGUCCGCCACCAUAGCAUCCACAUCUAAGUCGUUGAUGGAACGAGUGCGUUAUUCCCUAUUAAAAUGUUACUGUGGUUAAUCUAUAGGCAGAUUAUCCACAUUGGAUUAUUAUCCAAUAGAUGAUGAGUGGCAUCUUGCACAGUUGAGACGGGAGAAAUGGUUGUUUAUCUCUGCGUUUACUAGAGGUCUUUAAGGCUACUGAAAAGCACACAGCAGAGCAUUGUUACUGAGAAACUCUAAUUGGGGUUCAGAAGGAGGGGAGCCCUGUCCGUUCAGAAAAAAAUGUAGGAGAGUAUACUUGCACUACGUCCAGGUUACAGCUGGUGAAGUGGUUAAACAUUUGAGAGGAAACUGUUUACAUUUGUAAUGCAUUACAGGCCACAUCGGAAGUGGAAAAGCUGCAGAGAUUGUUUUGUGAAAGCUGUUGCUAAGUGCUGGGUACUGCAGAGGGAACUCAGUGGUGGAGGUGUUAGCUUGAGGUGCUGUCUGGCUGUGACAGACAAAGCUGGACUUCUUCUUACCUUGUAGGUGACCCAAGGAGAGUCCGAACUAUACCUGGAGCAUUUUACUCGAAAGCCCCAUAAACUUAUCACUGAGAUAAAUAUCCUAGUGACAUCUCAUUAAGCGCCCGCUAAUGACUCUGGCGGACACCCUUAAUGUUGUGUACAAUUUACCUUCAGCGGACCUUGUGUUUGCAGUUACAGGCUCGUCCUAUUAGUUUUCAAUGGGGGUCAGAAAGCUUUAGGGCUUAGCUUUAGCUGAGUGCUUUCUCUCUGAUAGAUGUAUUAAAUACAGUAAUGCAAUUUGUGAGACCAAAGGUUAAUAGUAAAUUAUUAUUUUUUUCUAUGUUACAGCGUCUAAUAAAAUCUCAUUAAAUUAUUUUUGAGCAAUUUCAUAUUUAUAUGGUUUUGAAAUAUUUUUUCUUUGAAGAGAAAUUAAUGUGAAAGAGGGAAAAAAAAUAUGAAAGGACAAAUGGAAAAGAUGAGACCUGAUAUUGUGUGUGAGUGUGUGUGUGCUAAUCUUAUCUUGUUCUUCCUCUAAAAAUAAAUGUUUUUAUGUCUGGCACACAUGUUUAUCAGAAAGAUAUCCAGAUUUUAAUUUCCCACUUUGUUACUGAAAUCUUAAACUGUAAAUGAUCACAGUGGGAGUGGGGAACCUGGAUUAUUUCUUCAUUGUCUCAUUGGACCAGUGUUUGUUUUCUACACUUCACAUAAUGAAAAUUACCGCAGAUAAAAGGGUUGAAGGGAUUUAUUAAGGCUACAGAUUUAACAACAACAACAAAAAAAGGCAAUUACGGAUAUAUCAACAAAUACCAGCUAAGUCUAAGUGUUAAAGCGGUGGCCUUCAGAACACAGUUUUCAUGUGAAAUGCAUUAUGCUCAUUUACUUUUUAUGCAUUUAUUAUUUUGUGCCUCAUUUAAGCAACAAAGGAUUUGGAGUUUUGGUUGUUAAUAAAGUUGUAGGAACUUUGUUGUUAUGUUUUUGUGCGAGUUGUUUAUGUGAAUACAAAGCAAUGGCAGGUGUUUUUUGUUUCUUUUUUUGCAUCUUCUAGUGCUAAUUUAGUUUUGGAAAUGUUCACUGCAUUUCAUUAAAUUAUGUUUUGCUAUUUAGAUAAAAAAAAAUACACAAUUGCAGAAAGUGUUUUCUUUUUUUCUGUGUAUUUUCAGAAUUAAUUUAGUUUCCUAUUGACAUAAACUGAUGAACCACAA